GGUGGCGUAGCCAAGUGGUAAGGCGGAAGUCUGCAAAACUUCUAUACGUCGGUUCGAUUCCGACCGCCACCUCCA
rnacentral:tRNA from 1 species